AUACGGAGGAUGCAAGCGUUAUCCGGAUUUAUUGGGUUUAAAGGGUGCGUAGGCGGACGUGUAAGUCAGGGGUGAAAUACCGGGGCUCAACCUCGGAACUGCCUUUGAUACUGCAUGUCUGGAGUUCGGAUGCCGUGGGAGGAAUGGGCAGUGUAGCGGUGAAAUGCAUAGAUAUUGCCCAGAACACCGAUUGCGAAGGCAUCUCACGAAUCCGACACUGACGCUGAGGCACGAAAGCGUGGGGAUCAAACAGGAUUAGAUACCCUGGUAGUCCACGCAGUAAACGAUGAUGACUAACCGUCGGCGAUAGACAGUCGGUGGCCAAGCGAAAGCGAUAAGUCAUCCACCUGGGGAGUACGUUCGCAAGAAUGAAACUCAAAUGAAUGGGCGGGG
rnacentral:rRNA from 1 species